CUCUAAGGAGGAUUUACUUGAUCUCUUUCCCGGGCCAGAGCACUUCUUCAGAAGGAGAACCAUUUGGAGAUUUUCCCAUGGUGAAAAUGAGGGUCAAGAAUCAGACCUGUGUAGACCAGGCACCUCCUCUGGGACCUGUUAUGUCAGUCCCACUACCACCCCCUUUCCCUCCUCCUCUACCCCCUUCCACUCUCCAUCCCCCCACCCCUCUCCAAACCCAAGAGACCAACAUGGUGCCACCAGAACCGUACAGCUUGUCAGCCAACAGUAUGUCUUAUACACAGACACAGAGUUGGAGCAAUCAAAAAGUACCUUUUUUGAAAAACAGCGUGCUGGACAAGAAGGAGACUAUAUCCUUUCCAAAGAUCUUCGCUGUCGAUUAAUCAGGAAUACAGUAACAAGCAUGAUUUCCAUUAAGAGAGCGGCAGGGGAUGACUUCCAGUAUCCAUGCAGCCGUGAACUCACUGUAAUGGCGAAGCGUUUCAUAGACUACUACCCAAUGCUGUGGGACAGAUCUGCAACCAGUGGAGCUGAGUGGGAAUCUGUGAAGAAGCAGCUUUUGAAAAGGAUUCAGUGUGACAACCGCCAAAAAGAAGCAGGGAGCGACCCCUUCAAGAAAGAGGCCACGAAGCCUUAACUUUCAGAGCAGCCAGGAGAUGUCCACUGAUGAGACUGACGAGUCCACCUCCUCAACUUUGAUCUUGGAGAGAUCCCCACAAUCUAGAUGCAGCACCCCAGAGGUUGAACAGUUGGGUGAAACUACUGAGAGCCUACAGAACCAGGCGAGACAUUAUAAAAUUCUACAGGAGAUGUACAAAACCAGGGCCAGACCCAACCAGAAGGAUGUUUCCCAGCUCCUGGACCUCAAGCAAGACGGGCCUUCAUCGACUCUGAUGCUACUAAGGAGCAGGACGGGCCUACCAAGAUACUUCAAGCGUAUCCCUGCUUCAGAGAACUGGAUCAUGUUAUGGAUGAACUCCGGCGGAACCUCGAUCGAGGGAACUCCCGCUUCGUACCUGAACUGAAGACCCGCUGGGGGACCUUGUAAAAAACAACAAACGCCCUGUCUAUUUAUUAAGGUUAUCGGAUCGGUUCUCGGAUCGGUCGAUACACACAGUUCUGUUAUCGGGACCGGAUUUUUAUUUAUUUUUUAUUGUGCAACCCUAGUCAGUAAUGAACUUUUUCCACUCGGCCAUAGCCUUUUUAUAUGAAGAAGUCAUGUCCCGGUUUUGGAUGGGGUCCGAGAGGACUUCUGUCUGCAGCACAGAGAGGAGUGUCGCAAUGAACUUAGGAUAUGUGAGGUGAAAGGCGUAAUAACACGCCAUGACGUCACACUUGCAUAGAUGUUCUCUUUUGGGAAGGUCACCACAGGCAUGGUUCCAAUGGCCAGAUUGCAGUUGGUUUUGCAGACAAUCACGACAGGGCUGAAGAGUGGUCUUGCCUGAUGAAAGAUGUUGGGAUCUUCUGCAGACUGACACAAACACGAAGAGAAAAACAAAUAUGACCACAAAAACUUUUCACACUGCUUUUGUAUGUUAUGGUCAAGUAAUAUGAACAUUCUAAUACAUGCACACAUUUCUUACCUCAAGGAUGUGUCACGAACCGGCUCAAAGCCCGUAACAAAAGGGAGACAACGUGGAGAUA